ACUCUGUGUUCUUGUGGAACCUUCCUGCAGAGGCUUCCCGAGGCCGUGGCACUUGUGCUGAGCACAGAGGGAACAGAAAGGAUUUUCAGCAAAGUCUGCCUCCUCCGCAUCUCCACCAAAGGGCAUUAAAGAAUUGGAGAGACAGGAUGGCUCCACUGCCCUGUCAGCAGCACAAUCACCCACAUGCUAGAAGAAGUAGGCUGUGUGCAUACGGAACCAGGCUAAGGGGCUUUUUGCAUCAUCUUCCACAGAAGUGCAGCCAUUCAGACACUCACCUGAGCCUUAACACUCAUUGCAGAGUGAACAGAAUCGAACAUGCCAUCUGCAGAAGUGCAGAUCUGAUGCAAUGCUUCCUUUCUCAGUUUGUGCUGCAAGCUCCUGCGGUGAACACUCAUCUUCUUAACGAGCACCCUGACAGUCUGGCCUUCUUGCUCAACAGGAAUUGUCCAGGAACUUAUGGGGUAACAUCUACCGCUGUUGAGAAAAAUAUAGUUACCCAUUAGUUUUAGUUGGUGGAAGUGCUGCCACCAACAUCGUCUUGAGAUACAUGAUUCACCCUGUGCAGACCAGUACGGCUUGGAUGAGGUACCUCUUCAGUCCAGAAAACCUUAAGUUGGAGCCCUGAAUGAGCUUUACAUGGUGCUGAAGCCCUGAGCUUCCCUCUGAAUACUGAUGAAUGUUAUUCAUAGCAACGAUUGAGAUAGGAUGCUCAUGACAGGGUUGUCUCUACUAUUCAUGACACCUGAAUUGUCUUUAUAGAAGAAGGCCUCACCAAAACAUAAUCUAAAUGGGAAACUAUUCUAGUUCUUUAAGGACUAAUUCAGUUAGUCAGCCAUAAAACUCUCCCAUCUUUUGCCUAAGUUCUGCAUUGGAGGGUUUGGAGACUUUUUCUGCAACUCACACUUUUUCCCCUUGCUUUCCCUUUGAACAUGAUCCCUUCAGUGCUCACCACAUACUGGCAACAGUUUCUCUGCUCCUGAAGUGAAAUCUGCCUCCUGCACA
rnacentral:lncRNA from 1 species